rnacentral:rRNA from 1 species
CCUACGGGAGGCUGCAGUGGGGAAUAUUGGACAAUGGGCGAAAGCCUGAUCCAGCCAUGCCGCGUGUGUGAAUAAGGCCUUCGGGUUGUAAAGCACUUUCAGUGGGGAAGAAAGCCUUGGGGCUAAUACCCUCGAGGAAGGACAUCACCCACAGAAGAAGCACCGGCUAACUCCGUGCCAGCAGCCGCGGUAAUACGGAGGGUGCGAGCGUUAAUCGGAAUUACUGGGCGUAAAGCGCGCGUAGGCGGUCUGAUAAGCCGGUUGUGAAAGCCCCGGGCUCAACCUGGGAACGGCAUCCGGAACUGUCAGGCUAGAGUGCAGGAGAGGAAGGUAGAAUUCCCGGUGUAGCGGUGAAAUGCGUAGAGAUCGGGAGGAAUACCAGUGGCGAAGGCGGCCUUCUGGACUGACACUGACGCUGAGGUGCGAAAGCGUGGGUAGCAAACAGGAUUAGAUACCCCUGUAGUC